rfam:Otolemur garnettii contig059044, whole genome shotgun sequence.
CUAACGGCCCUUUUUAGGGCCAUCCAUAAGUUCAUACAAAGAGCUG